rnacentral:rRNA from 1 species
GAUAAACGCUAGCGGCAGGCUUAACACAUGCAAGUCGAGGGGCAGCAUAGAUUGUAGCAAUACAAUUGGUGGCGACCGACGCACGGGUGCGUAACGCGUAUGCAACCUACCCGUCACAGGGGGAUAAUCCGGAGAAAUCUGGUCUAAUACCCCAUAACAUAUGGAUCGGCAUCGGUUCAUGUUGAAAUUUUCGGAGGUGACGGAUGGGCAUGCGUAGCAUUAGCUUGUUGGUGAGGUAACGGCUCACCAAGGCGACGAUGCUUAGGGGGACUGAGAGGUUUUCCCCCCACACUGGUACUGAGACACGGACCAGACUCCUACGGGAGGCAGCAGUGAGGAAUAUUGGUCAAUGGGCGCAAGCCUGAACCAGCCAUGCCGCGUGCAGGAUGACGGCUCUAUGAGUUGUAAACUGCUUUUGUACGAGGGUAAAGUGGGUUACGUGUAACCUUUUGAAAGUAUCGUACGAAUACGGAUCGGCUAACUCCGUGCCAGCCGCCGCAGUAA